rnacentral:rRNA from 1 species
AAGGCUUCAGUACGACCCAGUCAGAACUAUAAGUCUCAAAGCCCCGACGAGUAGGGUGGCGUGCCGGUGAGCGUUGAAGGCCAAGACGUGAGUCAGGCUGGAGCCGCCGGUAGUGCAGAUCUUGGUGGUAGUAGCAAGUANUNUGGUGAACCAACCUGGAGCUGUGAGGUCUGGAUCAGGGUUCCAUGUCAACAGUGAUUGAACAUGGGUGAGUCGAUCCUAAGCCAACUGUGAAAGCAGUGACAUCCCGACAAAGGUGUGCAUUUGGUGUGUGCGCCGUGCGCUUCGCACGAUCACUCGCCUCCUCUCGAUACAAAGCAAAAAAAACGUGUGGUGUGAUCCCGCGUGUGACGUCGGAGUUGCAACAUUACUCUGGCCUGCGCGCGAGUCACACACUCUAUCUGGUUACGCUCACUGGCGUCGGACGCAUGAACACUCAAUGAAAGAGAGGUGGCUUGGGCGAGUGUUGUUUGUCGUGUGAGGAGGAGAAUGUGUGCCACACACACUAUGCUUACCCUGCGUUGGUUCUAUGUCUGGCGAAAGGGAAUGGGGACUUUGUUCCUUGACCGGUCCCGGCACCCUCGAUAGGCUUUGCCAUUCAAUGGUCCAUGCAAAUGGAACCAGGCCACAGCCGCCGGCAGUCGCCCGAGGAAGAGUUUUCUUUUCUGCUUAACGCACGAGAUCAUCCCUGGAAACAGUUCGGCUGGCGAAAGGGUGCCCCGUUGCGGCAGAGCGCCACGACUGUCGUGCGCGUCUCGGUGUUCCUGCCGGUCCGUGAAGACGUGGUCGAGGGGAUUGCUAAUUGUAUCAACGAAACGCCCGACAAGUUCGGGACGGACCGUACCCUAUAUCCGCAUCUGGUCUCCAAGGUUCGUAGCCUCUGCAGAGUCAGACACAUGUAGGUAAGGGAAGUCGGCAAACUCGAUCCGUAACUUCGGGAAAAGGAUUGGCUCUGAGGGCCGANCUGGGCCGGGCCUUGCCUGCAAAGCAGUACCUAUAGUGACCGGAGUUUUAGGAGUGCGAGGGGCUCUAGUAGCUGCCUGCGUUCACGCGUGGGCACGAACGAGUCUACCGCUCCGCUCCAACCACGAACGGCUGUGACGGCAAGGGCUCUGGGCGGGANCGUUCAAACCGUUUGCCCCCMGCUCGUCUGGGUG